rnacentral:lncRNA from 1 species
CACUGUACAGUCUACAUUGGAACUUGACGGUUAAUGUACAUUCUAACAUGGUUAUUAAUAACUUAAGUCCCUAAAAUACAUUCAUCAAUAUAACUUAAAACUAAAUUUAAGUUGAGAUAAUAAUAAAUUUUCUAAAAAUUAUACAUGAAACCUGGAAUGACAAAUAUAACUAAAAUAUCAUAAUUCACCGCAAGUUUUCAUAAAUUCAUUACAAACAUAAAUAGAUAUAGCCCAAAUAUUCACCAAUUAUCACAAACAAAAACACACAAAUAACUAAAAUAAAUAUUGACAUUCUUUCACAAUUCUAAAAAAGUCCAUAAAAGAGUUCAACUCAUAUUCAAGGCAUACAAUUUGAAUAACAAAUGUCCAUCAUUGGCAUGACAAGGCAUGAGCACCCCCUUCACAAUUUCAUCAAUUUAACCUGAAAAAGUUAAAAAGUUUAUUACAAAAAAUAUAAAUCUAAUUGGUGAAACUAAAAAAAAAAAGCCAAAAAAUUUUGAAAAACAAAGAUACAACCAAACACAAAAAAAAUCAAUUGCUACUAAACAUCACUAAUUAAUAUGUUAUAUUACCAAUCAUUAUCUUCAUCACCAUCCAAAAGGCGCCUACGCUGAAAUGCUUCCAAGUCAAUAUCAUUAUCUUCUCCAACUUCACUUUCAUCAUCUAAAUAAAUAAAUAAAGUAACAAUUAAGGACUUAUCCAUAUUUAUAAUAAAAUUCAAAUUAAAAAAUGCACUUUUAGCACCUCAUAUUACAAGUUAAAAAUAUAUUUAUUUUACUAUUAAAACCAACCUUCAACUAGUUGAGAAUCAUCUUUAGGAAGUUCUUCAAGUUCUUCCUCCAAUUCAUCACAAUUAAGCUCGCCAUCUUGUUCUUCUUCUAUGACCCAAAAUUCCGUUUUAUCAAUAGAUUCAUAAUCAAUGGGAUCAUAAGAUCUCUUUCGGUGAUCAAACCUACAAUAAAAUACAUUAGUUACAAAUUUAAUAUUACUUUAAAAAAUAAAAUAUAAAGAAUAAAGUAAAAAAUCAAUUAUACCUAUGUUGCAAACGCAAAUUGUAGUGCACAUAAACAAGAUCAUUAAGUCUUUGGUGCUCCAACCUAUUCCUUUUUUUAGUGUGAAUGCGUUCAAAAACGCUCCAAUUACGUUCACACCCAGAAGAAGAAGCUGUUUGACUCAAAAUUCUAAUUGCAAGCUUUUGCAAAUUCGGAGCAUCACAACCAUAUAACUUCCACCAAUUUUCUGUCACAAUCAUAUUAAAAUAUUAGAUCAAAUAAAAAAUAAAUUCACAAUUUUUGAUAUUAAAAAAAUAGAAAUAACCUGGCCGAUCAGAUUUACAAAUAAUUAGAUAUAAUUAGUUCAUUUGUAAAAUAUAGUGUACUAAUAAGCAAAUAAAAUUAACAAAUUUUCAGUAAUAUAAGAAGAUCAAUUAGUCACAUGAAUAGCUCAACUAAGAAAAUGAAAAGAGAAAAGUCAGUGUUAAACUAUGUCUAUGCGAAAAGGAAAAAAGAAAAGUCAAGCGUAAAAGUGUUACAAUGAAAAAAUCAACUCAUUACAAUGCAACACAAAUGAAAGCAACAAGAGGAAUAUUAAUGGUACGGUUCUCAGUAGCACAAAAUUGAAAAAUUCAAAUGCAGCAAUCUUGUUUUUUGUUUUCAUAAAAAACUAGGCCUUAGUUGACCCAAAGAAAUAACAAGAAGGAUAUAUACUAAUAGUGAGACAAUUAAGUACCCAGCCAAUUUCUGUGACCAUUCAACUAAUUUCCUUGUGCUAAUGGCAAUAUAUCAAAAGAAAAUUUUAGGUUAGGAAGUGAAUAAAUAGUUUUACCACUAAUGUAAACAAUCCAACACUUCUUACUUUUAGAGUAUUAAUAAUCAACAGUAAUUAAAUAAGCUAAAGCUGCCAAACUUUAUAGAAUAUAGCACCAAAUAAAUCUCCUGAGCUUUGAAUGAAAGAGAUAUAAUUUCUUAUGAUCCUAGUUGCUUUUAACAAAUAAAAAGCAAUUUAUUUUGUAAUUUUUUGUAGCCCGGAUGGAUUUAAAGAAUAUAUAUGUGUGUGUUAUUGUCUAGGUAAAUUGAACAAGCCAUAAAAAUAUACCCAGUCAUAACACCAAUGAUCAAGCCAUAAAAAUAUACGAGAUGAAAUCUAAAAAAAAAUAAAAAAAAAAUCUCCUAUAACUGAAGUAUAUUGCAUAUCUCCACAAAAGACAAACAUGUUGAAAAAAUGAACAAAUACAUUAAGGUGGCACAAUAACAAAGUACUAUCAAAGUCCUUGUGAUUGUCAAACCCAGAGGUCCUACAGACAGAAGAAAUCCCUGCGCUCCUUUAAUUAGACAAACUUCAAGUUGAAAUAAUAUUGAUUAAAUAAAAAAAGCUGUAUGAACUUUGAACAUUUGAGCAGAAAUUAGUUUUUGGUCACAGAAAUUAAUUGAAUAAAAAAAGGGCAUACGGUUGCAUACUAUAAUCAUAAAUCAUAAAUUAGUUGCAUACGGUUAUUGUCACAAACAAUAUCAAUGGAACAAAAAAAGGGCAUUCCAAAUAUUAAUUCCAGAAAAAUACAAAAUUAAAAAACCAAACAUGACUAAUUUUAUUAAUUUGAUGCUUCAUCCAAAAAAUAACUUCUCCAAACAUGACUGCCAAAUAAUUUAUGAUUCAUAAACGGAUGAAAAUUUGGGGGAAAAAAAAGAAGAAAAUACGAAAAAAUCCACUAAAGAUAAUAUAGAAAACAAAAAUCAAGAAAAGGCAAAAAAAAAGCCGUAUGAACUUUGAACAUUUGAGCAGAAAUUAGUUUUUGGUCACAGAAAUUAAUUGAAUAAAAAAAGGGCAUACGGUUGCAUACUAUAAUCAUAAAUCAUAAAUUAGUUGCAUACGGUUAUUGUCACAAACAAUAUCAAUGAAACAAAAAAAGGGCAUUCCAAAUAUUAAUUCCAGAAAAAUACAAAAUUAAAAAACCAAACAUGACUAAUUUUAUUAAUUUGAUACUUCAUCCAAAAAAUAACUUCUCCAAACAUGACUGCCAAAUAAUUUAUGAUUCAUAAACGGAUGAAAAUUUGGGGAAAAAAAAGAAGAAAAUACGAAAAAAUCCACUAAAGAUAAUAUAGAAAACAAAAAUCAAGAAAAGGCAAAAAUUAAACUUACCAAGAUGCAAAGCUUUGGAGUCCCGUCUAAAAAUAAUAGUGUGCUGAUCUUGUUGUGGAUAUUUGGAUGUGGAAGGAUGAUGAAGAAAAAAAAAAUAGAUUAACUGGAAAUUGAAGGAAUGGAGGAACUGAGAAAGUGAGAAAGUGAAGUGAAGCCAAGGAGAAAUGAGAAAUGGUGCCGUCGCCGUCUGUGCGUUUGUGGCUUUGUGCGGCUGAGAAAGAAUUACGAAAGUGAAUUGAAUGAAUGGUGCCG